ACGUCAGGCACUGUCAUUGUGUGAAUAAUUAAUGAUAUAGUGAUCCAAGCAUUACGUCGAGUUUGCCGUAAGCUUACCUCAUAGCCAUCAUAAGCCAGGUUUGCUGACGUAAGGGUAACGUAACCACACGGAAGAGCCAAAAAGUACUAUUGAGGAAUACAAACGCAAAAGCAGCAGCAGUAACAACAACAGAAAACAGUUUUGUUAGAUAAAUGGCCUUGGGCAAAAGUCUUUAUAACUGCAAUCACAUAAGUUAGUGGAAACAGUGUCAGGCUUUCCCAGAUGGAGACAAUAUAGUGAGGUAAAAUUUUAGUGCUGUUUAAAUGAAUGCGUUGUGUUUGUUAUUCAUUUAAAAAUAUGAACAUAAAGUUAUGACUCAUGACAAACUGGCAAGAGAGUUGAUAACACAGAUCUGUCCAAAUAUGAGGGAAACUAUAUUCCUUUGUAGGCCUACUGUGUAGCAUUAUUAGAAUUAUUCACCCAGUGUUUAUUCACAAGAUUGACCGAAGCCUAUUUAGAUGACCAAAUUAUGAACAUUGUGACCCACCCUGAGGCUGUAAGAGUGUGCCUGAUGAGAGAAUGCGUACUUGAAGCAGUUAUAGGACAUAAUAUAUUCAAGAAGACCAAGCGAUCCUUAUAGGACUACAUGCAAAGCAAUGUACUCCAGACCGCACAACUGGACAUACAGAUUGUGCCCUGAUGCCAUCUGCCCCGUUCUCCCAGCCUCAUCUUCCCUCUCUAUGCCUAGCUUCACAUCGGUUGGCUCUUCUUUGGCUCUCUUCAUCCCGUCUGCCUGCCUCGCUGCUCUCCCUGAUAACAUUUCCUGACUGAUGCCUUGCACUCUGACUCUUUCUGCAAGGUGCCAUUCUCAGCAGUGACUCAAUUUAGUGCCACCCUGCUGCUUGGCAUUGCACUUCUGAGGUCAUCACCA